rnacentral:rRNA from 1 species
UAGGGAAUCUUCCGCAAUGGGCGAAAGCCUGACGGAGCAACGCCGCGUGAGUGAUGAAGGUCUUCGGAUCGUAAAACUCUGUUAUUAGGGAAGAACCAAUGUGUAAGUAACUAUGCACGUCUUGACGGUACCUAAUCAGAAAGCCACGGCUAACUACGUGCCAGCAGCCGCGGUAAUACGUAGGUCCCGAGCGUUGUCCGGAUUUAUUGGGCGUAAAGCGAGCGCAGGCGGUUAGAAAAGUAUGAAGUGAAAGGCGGUGGCUCAACCAUUGUAGGCUUUGGAAACUGUUUAACUUGAGUGCAUAAGGGGAGAGUGGAAUUCCAUGUGUAGCGGUGAAAUGCGUAGAUAUAUGGAGGAACACCGGUGGCGAAAGCGGCUCUCUGGUCUGUAACUGACGCUGAGGCUCGAAAGCGUGGGGUGCUAACAGG